rnacentral:rRNA from 1 species
AUGGGAUUCCGUGAAUUUCGCUUAUUCAACCAAGCUCUGUUGGCGCGCCAAGCUUGGCGAAUACUAACUCAACCAGUCAGCUUGUGCUCACGAGUCAUGAAGGCUAAGUAUUUCCCUACUGGGAAACUAGAGGACACAGCUUUUCCUUCUAAUUCUUCACCAACUUGGCAAGCCAUUGCUCACGGGCUUGAACUUCUGAAGUGGGGCAUCAUUUGGAGGGUGGGUAAUGGCCAAUCAAUACGCAUAUGGAGAGACCGCUGGAUCCCGAAUGGUGGCUUUGGUAAACCGAUUACCGAGCAGGGCCGGUGUCGUCUGCGGAGAGUGUCCGAGCUGCUGGAUGAACGGGGAGCAUGGCGUAUGGACCUUCUGCAGCAGUAUUUUGCCCCUGUGGAUGUUGCGCAGAUUGUUAAAAUUCGAACCUGCACACAUCUAGGAGAGGAUGUCCUCGCUUGGGAACCGGAGCGUAAUUGUAUCUUCACGAAGGUGCGUGUGUUUGCAUGGAGAGUAGUGAUAGAUUGUCUCCCUACUUGGACAAAUAAACAUUCUCGUAAUCUUGAAGUGUCUAACCUUUGUCCUGUGUGUGCCACCGAACCGGAGGACACUUUCCAUGAUCUUUGUAGAUGCCCCCGAGUGGUCGCCCUAUGGCUGUCAAUGGCGAAGCAAUGGAACAUCCCAGAUGUCCGGCAGUUUGUGAACACAGGGCCGAAGUGGCUCUUCCAUGUGCUUGCUGACCUGCCAGAGGAGGAGCGCAUGUACACGCUCAUGACGAUUUGGCGCUGCUGGCAUGUCAGAAAUAAGAUCGUCCAUGACAAACGACCACCACCAGUAGAGGCCUCAACAAGGUUCUUGUCCAGCUAUAUCAGCUCCUUGCUGGCCCUUCAAGCGGAUCCUCGUGGCGAUCAUGUCAAAGGAAAUAUGGUGGCCACUCCCCAGGUCAAGAGGAAGCAAGUAGCGCAUGUCUACCAAGCAAAGGAGCAGACAUUCAGAUGGGAGGCACCGCCGGCCGGUUAGGUGGCGCUCAACAUUGACGGAUCCUUCUGUGACAAAGACGGGAGUGCUGGGGCUGGUAUGGUUCUCAGGGACGAACAUGGAGAUAUCAUCUUCUCUUCUAGCCGAGAGUUACGGCAAUGUAUGUCCCCGUUGGAGUCUGAACAUGCAGCAUGCAUGGAGGGCAUUUCCCUAGCCUCACAAUGGUUUGCACUACCGAUUGUUGUCCAAACGGACUUCCUGGACGUGACCAAGCUGAUUAAUGAAGGAGGAGAGAACCAGUCUGAGCGUAUGAUGAUGGUACGUGAGAUUACUAAGCUUCUACACGACCGUGGGGAAUUUCUAGUCAAGCAUGUAAGGAGAGAACAAAAUGUUGUUAGCCACUUUUUAGCAAACUAUGGUAGAAUAAAAAAGCGCACCACGGUGUGGCUUUGA